rnacentral:rRNA from 1 species
UGAAGGAGGAGCUUGCUUCUCUGGAUGAGUUGCGAACGGGUGAGUAACGCGUAGGUAACCUGCCUGGUAGCGGGGGAUAACUAUUGGAAACGAUAGCUAAUACCGCAUAACAGUAGAUAUUGCAUGAUAUCUGCUUGAAAGGUGCAAUUGCAUCACUACCAGAUGGACCUGCGUUGUAUUAGCUAGUUGGUGAGGUAACGGCUCACCAAGGCGACGAUACAUAGCCGACCUGAGAGGGUGAUCGGCCACACUGGGACUGAGAACACGGCCCAGACUCCUACGGGAGGCAGCAGUACGGAAUCUUCGGCAAUGGACGGAAGUCUGACCGAGCAACGCCGCUUGAGUGAAGAAGGUUUUCGGAUCUUAAAGCUCUGUUGUAAGAGAAGAACGAGUGUGAGAGUGGAAAGUUCACACUGUGACGGUAUCUUACCAGAAAGGGACGGCUAACUACGUGCCAGCAGCCGCGGUAAUACGUAGGUCCCGAGCGUUGUCCGGAUUUAUUGGGCGUAAAGCGAGCGCAGGCGGUUAGAUAAGUCUGAAGUUAAAGGCUGUGGCUUAACCAUAGUACGCUUUGGAAACUGUUUAACUUGAGUGCAAGAGGGGAGAGUGGAAUUCCAUGUGUAGCGGUGAAAUGCGUAGAUAUAUGGAGGAACACCGGUGGCGAAAGCGGCUCUCUGGCUUGUAACUGACGCUGAGGCUCGAAAGCGUGGGGAGCAAACAGGAUUAGAUACCCUGGUAGUCCACGCCGUAAACGAUGAGUGCUAGGUGUUAGACCCU